rnacentral:rRNA from 1 species
AACGCGAAGAACCUUACCUGGGCUCGAACGGCUUUGGAAAAGCUGUGGAAACAUGGUUUUCCCGCAAGGGACCGGAGUCGAGGUGCUGCAUGGCUGUCGUCAGCUCGUGUCGUGAGAUGUUGGGUUAAGUCCCGCAACGAGCGCAACCCUUGUCCUGUGUUGCCACUCCCGUAAGGGAAGCACUCUCAGGAGACCGCCAGCGAUAAGUUGGAGGAAGGUGGGGAUGAUGUCAAGUCAUCAUGGCCUUUAUGUCCAGGGCUACACACGUGCUACAAUGGGCGGUACAAAGCGCUGCAAACCCGCGAGGGGGAGCUAAUCGCAAAAAACCGUUCUCAGUUCGGAUCGCAGGCUGCAACUCGCCUGCGUGAAGCUGGAAUCGCUAGUAAUGGCGUAUCAGAAUGAUGCCGUGAAUACGUUCCCGGGCCUUGUACACACCGGUACUA